rnacentral:lncRNA from 1 species
UGAGUCAUGGGUUUUGACAAGUGUUGGCCUCAGAUUCUUGCCAUGAAUUAGCCACGUCUUCUAUGACUCAUCUGCAAGUGAUUUGAGCAGCUCAUGCAGGAGUUUGCUCAUUCACCAAGUUUUGAAAGGUUUGAAGCAAAAGUGAGUUUGAGAGAGUUUGAGAGUGUGAGAAGAGGUGAUCCGUUUUCCCUUGUUCAGAGUGUUUANN